GAUGAACGCUGGCGGCGUGCCUAAUACAUGCAAGUCGAGCGAACAGACGAGGAGCUUGCUCCUCUGACGUUAGCGGCGGACGGGUGAGUAACACGUGGAUAACCUACCUAUAAGACUGGGAUAACUUCGGGAAACCGUAGCUAAUACCGGAUAAUAUAUUGAACCGCAUGGUUCAAUAGUGAAAUACGGUUUUGCUGUCACUUAUAGAUUGAUCCGCGCCGCAUUAGCUAGUUGGUAAGGUAACGGCUUACCAAGGCAACGAUGCGUAGCCGACCUGAGAGGGUGAUCGGCCACACUGGAACUGAGACACGGUCCAGACUCCUACGGGAGGCAGCAGUAGGGAAUCUUACGCAAUGGGCGAAAGCCUGACGGAGCAACGCCGCGUGAGUGAUGAAGGUCUUCGGAUCGUAAAACUCUGUUAUUAGGGAAGAACAAAUGUGUAAGUAACUAUGCACGUCUUGACGGUACCUAAUCAGAAAGCCACGGCUAACUACGUG
rnacentral:rRNA from 1 species